GGGUAACACGGUCGUUUUUUAUUGGUCGUCAUGAAAAAAAACAUAAGGGGUAACACUGUCGUUUUUUAUUGGUCGUCAUGAAUAAAACCAAAAGGGGUAACACUGUUGUUUUUUAUUGGUCAUCCUGAAAAAAUUAUAAGGGGUAACACUGUUGUUUUUUUUUGGUUGUCAUGAAAGAAAACAUAAGGGGUAACACUGUCGUUUUCUAUUGGUCGUCAUGAAAAAAAGCCUAAGGGGUAACACUGUUGUUUUAUAUUGGUCGUCAUGAAAAAGAACAUAAGGGGUAACACUGUUGUUUUUUAUUGGUCGUCAUGAAAAAAACAUACACUGUUGUUUUUUUAUUGGUCGUCAUGAAAAAAAUCAUAAGGGGUAACACUGUUGUUUUUAUUGGUCGUCAUGAAAAAAACAUAAGGGGUAACACUGUUGUCUUUGUCAAAUAAAAUAUAAGGGGUAAGACUGUGGUUUUUUAUUGGUCGUCAUGAAAAAAAACAUAAAGGGUAACACUGUUGUCUGUGUCAAAUAAAAUAUAAGGGGUAACACUUGUUUUUCUUUGGUCGUCAUGAAAAAAACACCACGGGGGAAACACUGUUGUUUUUUAUUGGUCGUCAUGAAAAAAACCAUAAGGGGUAACACUGUUGUUUUUUAUUGGUCGUCAUGAAAAAACA
ensembl:lncRNA